GUGCUCGCUUCGGCAGCACAUAUACUAAAAUUGGAACGAUACAGAGAAGAUUAGCAUGGCCCCUGCGCAAGGAUUGGCAAGAACUUCAAGACUCUGAAGAAGGAAAU